rnacentral:tRNA from 1 species
GAGGGUAUAGCUCAAGUGGUAGAGCGCAUGCUUAGCACGCAUGAGGUCCUGGGUUCAAUCCCCAGUACCUCCU